rnacentral:rRNA from 1 species
UACGUAGGGUGCGAGCGUUAAUCGGAAUUACUGGGCGUAAAGCGUGCGCAGGCGGCUUGCCAAGUCAGAUGUGAAAGCCCCGGGCUCAACCCGGGAACUGCGUUUGAAACUGGCAGGCUAGAGUUUGGCAGAGGGGGGUGGAAUUCCGACGUGUAGCAGUGAAAUGCGUAGAGAUGUGGAGGAACACCGAUGGCGAAGGCAGCCCCCUGGGCCAAAACUGACGCUCAGGCACGAAAGCGUGGGGAGCAAACAGG